rnacentral:rRNA from 1 species
CCUACGGGAGGCAGCAGUGAGGAAUAUUGGUCAAUGGCCGGGAGGCUGAACCAGCCAAGUCGCGUGAGGGAAGACGGCCCUACGGGUUGUAAACCUCUUUUGUCAGGGAGCAAGGUGCAGGUCGGGACCUGCUGUGAGAGUUCCUGAAGAAAAAGCAUCGGCUAACUCCGUGCCAGCAGACGCGGUAAUACCGGGGAUGCGAGCGUUUUCCGGAUUUAUUGGGUGUAAAGGGUUCGCAGGCGGAGGCACAAGUCAGCGGUAGAAUGGGGGGGGCAAACCCCGCUCCGCCGUUGAAACGGGGUCCGUUGAGUGCGGGAAGGGGAGGCGGAAUGGGUGGUGUAGGGGUGAAAUGAAUAGUUA